rnacentral:rRNA from 1 species
AUUGAACGCUGGCGGCAGGCCUAACACAUGCAAGUCGAACGAGUGGCGGACGGGUGAGUAAUGUCUGGGAAACUGCCUGAUGGAGGGGGAUAACUACUGGAAACGGUAGCUAAUACCGCAUACCAUCAGAUGUGCCCAGAUGGGAUGAGCUAGUUGGUGGGGUAACGGCUCACCAAGGCGACGAUCCCUAGCUGGUCUGAGCGGAUGACCAGACACACGGGAACUGAGACACGGUCCAGACUCCUACGUGAGGCAGCAGUGGGGAAUAGUGCACAAGGGGUGAAAGCCUGAUGCAGCCAUGCCGCGUGUAUGAAGAAGGCCUUCGGGUUGUAAAGUACUUUCAGCGGGGAGGCGUUACCCGCAGAAGAAGCACCGGCUAACGCCGUGCCAGCAGCCGCGGUAAUAC